rnacentral:rRNA from 1 species
GACAGAGGGUGCAAACGUUGUUCGGAAUUACUGGGCGUAAAGCGCGUGUAGGCGGCUUUGCAAGUCGGGUGUGAAAUCCCACGGCUCAACCGUGGAAGUGCACUCGAAACUGCAAGGCUAGAGUCCUGGAGAGGAAGGUGGAAUGCUUGGUGUAGAGGUGAAAUUCGUAGGUAUCAAGCGGAACACCGGUGGCGAAGGCGGCCUUCUGGACAGUGACUGACGCUGAGACGCGAAAGCGUGGGGAGCAAACAGG